UACGAAGGUCCCAAGCGUUGUUCGGAAUCACUGGGCGUAAAGGGCGCGUAGGCGGCGUGGUAAGUCAGAUGUGAAAUCCCGGGGCUCAACCCCGGAACUGCAUCCGAUACUGCCAUGCUAGAGGAUUGGAGAGGUAGCUGGAAUUCUUGGUGUAGCAGUGAAAUGCGUAGAGAUCAAGAGGAACACUCGUGGCGAAAGCGAGCUACUGGACAAUUCCUGACGCUGAGGCUCGAAGGCUAGGGUAGCGAACGGG
rnacentral:rRNA from 1 species